rnacentral:snRNA from 1 species
AUCACUUCUCAGCCUUUUGGCUAAGAUCAAGUGUAGUAUCUGUUCUUAUUAGUUUAAUAUCUGAUAUGUUCUCUAUUUGGGAACUUAAAACAAAAACUCCAUUUUGGCUUCACAGCCCUCACACUGAUAACUUCCUUAUUGCCAUUUGACAGACAGGGAGAAGGGCU